rnacentral:rRNA from 1 species
UACAGAGGAUGCAAGCGUUAUCCGGAAUGAUUGGGCGUAAAGCGUCUGUAGGUGGCUUUUUAAGUCCGCCGUCAAAUCCCAGGGCUCAACUCUGGACAGGCGGUGGAAACUACCAAGCUGGAGUACGGUAGGGGCAGAGGGAAUUUCCGGUGGAGCGGUGAAAUGCGUAGAGAUCGGAAAGAACACCUGUGGCGAAAGCGGCCUGCUGGGCAGUUGCUGACACUGAGGCGCGACAGCGUGGGGAGCAAACAGG